CCCGGUGGCUCAGAUGGUAAAGCGUCUGUCUACAAUGCAGGAGACCUGGGUUCGAUCCCUGCGUUGGGA
rnacentral:tRNA from 1 species